rnacentral:lncRNA from 1 species
GCCCACUACGAGUAAUAGGGUUCAGGUGGGGCUAGUCUCCCAGGUAGUGGAGGAGAUGCCCACUACGAGUAAUAGGGUUCAGGUGGGGCUAGUCUCCCAGGUAGUGGAGGAGAGGCCCACUAUGAGUAAUAGGGUUCAGGUGGGGCUAGUCUCCCAGGUAGUGGAGGAGAUGCCUGGUACGAGUGAUGGGCAGCAAGUGGGGAGUGAUGAAAAGGAUGUGUUAGAAGCAAGUCAGGGUUCUGUGGCCUCAGUUGAGGAGGAGCAGGAUAUGGAUAUUCCUUUUGAUAUGAUAGCAGCUGGUGACGACUCAAUUUAUAAUCUAGAGGAGGUAAAUAGGUUUCUGGAUCAGACUUUAG